UGCCCUACGGGCGGCAGCAGUUGGGAAUCUUGCGCAAUGGGGGAAACCCUGACGCAGCGACGCCGCGUGCGGGAUGACGGUCUUCGGAUUGUAAACCGCUUUUCCCAGGGACGAUAAUGACGGUACCUGGGGAAUCAGCCCCGGCUAACUCCGUGCCAGCAGCCGCGGUAAGACGGAGGGGGCAAGCGUUGUCCGGAAUUACUGGGCGUAAAGAGCUCGUAGGCGGUCGCAUACGGCGGUGGUGAAAGCUCCCGGCUCAACUGGGAGAGGCCCACCGCAACGGUGUGACUCGAGGAUGGUAGAGGCAGAUGGAAUUCCUGGUGUAGCGGUGAAAUGCGUAGAGAUCAGGAGGAACACCCGUGGCGAAGGCGGUCUGCUGGGCCAUAUCUGACGCUGAGGAGCGAAAGCUAGGGGAGCGAACGGGAUUAGAUACCCCAGUAGUCA
rnacentral:rRNA from 1 species